rnacentral:rRNA from 1 species
AGAGUUUGAUCAUGGCUCAGAAUGAACGCUGGCGGCGUGCUUAACACAUGCAAGUCGAACGAGAAAAGUUUCCUUCGGGAAGCGAGUAGAGUGGCGCACGGGUGAGUAACACGUGGGUAACCUACCCUUGAGUUGGGGAUAACUCCGCGAAAGCGGGGCUAAUACCGAAUAAUAUGUCGAGGUCCUCGGACCUUGUCAUCAAAGGUGGCCUCUGCAUGCAAGCUAUCGCUUAAGGAUGGGCCCGCGCACCAUUAGCUAGUUGGUAGGGUAAUGGCCUACCAAGGCAACGAUGGUUAGCUGGUCUGAGAGGAUGAUCAGCCACACUGGAACUGAGACACGGUCCAGACUCCUACGGGAGGCAGCAGUGAGGAAUAUUGCGCAAUGGGGGCAACCCUGACGCAGCAACGCCGCGUGGGUGAAGAAGGCCUUCGGGUUGUAAAGCCCUGUCAGGUGGGAAGAAACCUCUUGAGGUGAAUAGUCUCGAGAGCUGACGGUACCACCAGAGGAAGCACCGGCUAACUCCGUGCCAGCAGCCGCGGUAAUA